AGAGUUUGAUCCUGGCUCAGAUUGAACGCUGGCGGCAUGCCUUACACAUGCAAGUCGAACGGUAACGCGGGGGCAACCCUGGCGACGAGUGGCGAACGGGUGAGUAAUACAUCGGAACAUAUCCAGUAGCGGGGGAUAAUCUAUCGAAAGACGGACUAAUACCGCAUACGAUCUACGGAUGAAAGCAGGGGACCGCAAGGCCUUGCACUAUUGGAGUGGCCGAUGUCGGAUUAGCUAGUUGGUGGGGUAAAAGCUUACCAAGGCGACGAUCCGUAGCUGGUCUGAGAGGACGAUCAGCCACACUGGAACUGAGACACGGUCCAGACUCCUACGGGAGGCAGCAGUGGGGAAUUUUGGACAAUGGCGCAAGCCUGAUCCAGCCAUGCCGCGUGAGUGAAGAAGGCCUUCGGGUUGUAAAGCUCUUUCGGUGAAGACGAAACGGUUCAUGCUAAUAACGUGAACUAAUGACGGUACUCACAGAAGAAGCACCGGCUAACUACGUGCCAGCAGCCGCGGUAAUACGUAGGGUGCAGGCGUUAAUCGGAAUUACUGGGCGUAAAGCGUGCGCAGGCGGUUUGCUAAGACAGGUGUGAAAUCCCCGGGCUUAACCUGGGAAUUGCGCUUGUAACUGGCAAGCUAGAGUGUGGCAGAGGGGGGUGGAAUUCCACGUGUAGCAGUGAAAUGCGUAGAUAUGUGGAGGAACACCGAUGGCGAAGGCAGCCCCCUGGGUUAACACUGACGCUCAUGCACGAAAGCGUGGGGAGCAAACAGGAUUAGAUACCCUGGUAGUCCACGCCCUAAACUAUGUCAACUAGUUGUCGGGGAAGAAAUUCCUUGGUAACGAAGCUAACGCGUGAAGUUGACCGCCUGGGGAGUACGGCCGCAAGGUUAAAACUCAAAGGAAUUGACGGGGACCCGCACAAGCGGUGGAUUAUGUGGAUUAAUUCGAUGCAACGCGAAAAACCUUACCUACCCUUGACAUGCUAGGAAGCCCGCAGAGACGUGGGUGUGCCCGAAAGGGAACCUAGACACAGGUGCUGCAUGGCUGUCGUCAGCUCGUGUCGUGAGAUGUUGGGUUAAGUCCCGCAACGAGCGCAACCCUUGCCAUUAGUUGCUACAUUCAGUUGGGCACUCUAAUGGGACCGCCGGUGACAAACCGGAGGAAGGUGGGGAUGACGUCAAGUCCUCAUGGCCCUUAUGGGUAGGGCUUCACACGUAAUACAAUGGUCGGUACAGAGGGCUGCCAACCCGCAAGGGGGAGCUAAUCCCAGAAAGCCGAUCGUAGUCCGGAUUGUAGACUGCAACUCGACUGCAUGAAGCUGGAAUCGCUAGUAAUCGCGGAUCAGCAUGUCGCGGUGAAUACGUUCCCGGGUCUUGUACACACCGCCCGUCACACCAUGGGAGUGGGUUCCACCAGAAGUAGUUAGCCUAACCGCAAGGAGGGCGAUUACCACGGUGAGAUUCAUGACUGGGGUGAAGUCGUAACAAGGUA
rnacentral:rRNA from 1 species